GAUGAACGCUGGCGGCGUGCCUAAUACAUGCAAGUCGAGCGAACAGACGAGAGUGCUUGCACUCUCUGACGUUAGCGGCGGACGGGUGAGUAACACGUGGGUAACCUACCUAUAAGACUGGGAUAACUUCGGGAAACCGGAGCUAAUACCGGAUAAUAUUUAGCUUCGCAUGCCGCAAUAGUGAAAGACGGUUCUGCUGUCACUUAUAGAUGGACCCGCGGUGUAUUAGCUAGUUGGUGAGGUAACGGCUCACCAAGGCAACGAUACAUAGCCGACCUGAGAGGGUGAUCGGCCACACUGAGACUGAGACACGGCCCAGACUCCUACGGGAGGCAGCAGUAGGGAAUCUGCCGCAAUGGACGAAAGUCUGACGGAGCAAUGCCGCGUGAGUGAAGAAGGUUUUCGGAUCGUAAAACUCUGUUGUAAGGGAAGAACAAGUACGUUAGUAACUGAACGUACCUUGACGGUACCUGAACAGAAAGCCACGGCUAACUACGUG
rnacentral:rRNA from 1 species